UACGUAGGGGGCUAUCGUUGUCCGGAAUCAUUGGGCGUAAAGAGCGUGUAGGCGGCCCGGUAAGUCCGCUGUAAAAGUCAAAGGCUCAACCUUUGAAUGUCAGUGGAUACUGCCGCGCUAGAGUCCGGAAGAGGCGAGUGGAACUCCUGGUGUAGCGGUGGAAUGCGCAGAUAUCAGGAAGAACACCAACGGCGAAGGCAGCUCGCUGGGACGGUACUGACGCUGAGACGCGAAAGCGUGGGGAGCGAACAGG
rnacentral:rRNA from 1 species